GACGAACGCUGGCGGCGCGCUUAACACAUGCAAGUCGAGCGGAAUUAUAAGCAAUUAUAAUUUAGCGGCGGACGGGUGAGUAACGCGUGGGUAAUCUGCCUUUCAGAGGGGGAUAACGCGGAGAAAUUCGUGCUAAUACCGCAGGAACCAGGGGUACGUCAUCAUAACCCCUGGCAAAGGAGCAAUCCGCUGAGAGAUGAGCCCGCGUCUGAUUAGCUAGUUGGUGGGGUAAAAGCCUACAAAGGCGACGAUCAGUAGCCGAACUGAGAGGUUGGUCGGCCACAUUGGGACUGAGGCACGGCCCAGACUCCUACGGGAGGCAGCAGUGGGGAAUAUUGCGCAAUGGGGGAAACCCUGACGCAGCGACGCCGCGUGGAGGAAGAAGGUCUUCGGAUUGUAAACUCCUUUGAUCGGGGACGAGAAUGGACGGUACCCGAAAAACAAGCCACGGCUAACUACGUGCCAGCCGCCGCGGUAA
rnacentral:rRNA from 1 species